GUGUCAGCAGCCGCGGUAAUACGAAGGGGGCUAGCGUUGCUCGGAAUUACUGGGCGUAAAGGGCGCGUAGGCGGCCUUGUAAGUCAGGCGUGAAAUUCCUGGGCUCAACCUGGGGGCUGCGCUUGAGACUGUGAGGCUUGAGGACGGAAGAGGCUCGUGGAAUUCCCAGUGUAGAGGUGAAAUUCGUAGAUAUUGGGAAGAACACCGGUGGCGAAGGCGGCGAGCUGGUCCGUAUCUGACGCUGAGGCGCGACAGCGUGGGGAGCAAACAGGAUUAGAUACCCCAGUAGUCC
rnacentral:rRNA from 1 species